rnacentral:rRNA from 1 species
CGGCAAUGGGGCAGCUACCAUGCAGUCGAGCGAGAACUUCGGUUCUAGCGGCGGACGGGUUAGUAACGCGUGGGAACGUGCCCUUCACUACGGAAUAGUCCCGGGAAACUGGGUUUAAUACCGUAUACGCCCUUCGGGGGAAAGAAUUUCGGUGAAGGAUCGGCCCGCGUUAGAUUAGAUAGUUGGUGGGGUAACGGCCUACCAAGUCUACGAUCUAUAGCUGGUUUUAGAGGAUGAUCAGCAACACUGGGACUGAGACACGGCCCAGACUCCUACGGGAGGCAGCAGUGGGGAAUCUUAGACAAUGGGCGCAAGCCUGAUCUAGCCAUGCCGCGUGAGUGAUGAAGGCCUUAGGGUCGUAAAGCUCUUUCGCCAGGGAUGAUAAUGACAGUACCUGGUAAAGAAACCCCGGCUAACUCCGUGCCAGCAGCCGCGGUAAUACGGAGGGGGUUAGCGUUGUUCGGAAUUACUGGGCGUAAAGCGCGCGUAGGCGGAUUGGAAAGUUGGGGGUGAAAUCCCAGGGCUCAACCCUGGAACUGCCUCCAAAACUAUCAGUCUAGAGUUCGAGAGAGGUGAGUGGAACUCCGAGUGUAGAGGUGAAAUUCGUAGAUAUUCGGAAGAACACCAGUGGCGAAGGCGGCUCACUGGCUCGAUACUGACGCUGAGGUGCGAAAGUGUGGGGAGCAAACAGGAUUAGAUACCCUGGUAGU